GCCCUUAUAGCAAAGUGGUAACGCGUUGCACUCGUAUCUCGGCAUGCGACAUGCAAAGAUUGCUAGUUCGAUUCCAGCUGAGGGCA